CCUACGGGAGGCAGCAGUGAGGAAUAUUGGUCAAUGGGCGUAAGCCUGAACCAGCCAAGUCGCGUGAGGGAUGAAGGCCCUAUGGAUCGUAAACUUCUUUUAUAUGGGAAUAAAGUGUUGGACGUGUCCUAUUUUGUAUGUACCUUAUGAAUAAGGAUCGGCUAACUCCGUGCCAGCAGCCGCGGUAAUACGGAGGAUCCGAGCGUUAUCCGGAUUUAUUGGGUUUAAAGGGUGCGUAGGCGGAUUGUUAAGUCAGUGGUGAAAGUUUGUGGCUCAACCGUAAAAUUGCAGUUGAAACUGGGAGGCUUGAGUACAUUAGAGGCGGGCGGAAUGCGUGGUGUAGCGGUGAAAUGCUUAGAUAUCACGCAGAACCCCGAUUGCGAAGGCAGCUCACUGGACCGUGACUGACACUGAUGCUCGAAAGCGUGGGGAUCAAACAGGAUUAGAUACCCGUGUAGUC
rnacentral:rRNA from 1 species